CUGUUCCAUUGAUCUGAGUGUCUGUUUUUGUGCCAGUACCAUACUGUCUUGAUGAUCAUAGCUUUGUAAGACAGCUUGAAGUCCAGAUUGUGAUGCCACCU